rnacentral:lncRNA from 1 species
GCGCAUCAUGAGGUCAGGAGAUCGAGACCAUCCUGGCUAACACAGUGAAACCCCGUCUCUACUAAAAAAUGCAAAAAAUUAGCCUGGUGUGGUGACAGACACCUGUAGUCCCAGCUACUCAGGAGGCUGAGGCGGGAGAAUGGCAUGAACCUGGGAGGCAGAGCUGGCAGUGAGCCGAGAUAGCACCACUGCACUCCAGCCUGGGCAACAGAGCAAGACUCUGUCUCAAAAAAAAAAAAAAAAAAAAAGACAGUGAAGACACAUCAUCCUCAGCUCUGGAGUGGCGCUUCCCUUCCAGUGGUGAGAGCUAAUCAUGUGGCCUGGACUCAGUGCUUGAAGUCUGGGAGGUGUUGUCUGAGCUCAGGAAGAAAUGGCCCUUGCCUCAGCUGCUGAUAAACGCAACAGGCCAUAGUUAAUGACAGAUCAUGAUUGUCAAGUAUCGUCAAUGCUCGGUGGAAGCUGGGUUUAUACUAACUUUCCUUUGCAGAGUUUUUACUGAUUCAUAAAGCCAGUGGUUGCAUAUUACAAGCAGAUCGUUAGUUCACACAACACAAAUGUCAUUUGGUCACGGAUAUUUUUGUUGCUGUUCGAUCGUUUCUUUCCCUACUUAUCAACUGGUGUGGAUGGACCUAGAGAAGAUGUUCACCCUUUCCAGCAAGGAAUAUAGUUCCUUCAUCCGUUUGUCCUUUAUUAAAUUAAAGUCAUGCUGAGGACGACGCGUUAUUGCCCCUGGUUGUCCUGCUGCCCCUUCCUGUGAGCAGCCUGUAAGUUCCUGCCCGAUGCCGAGUGCCUGUCUGUGUCAUCUUGCCCACCAGAGGAACAGAGUCCAAGCCUCACGGGUGGUGUGCCGUGCCUGGGGGAAGGGAGCGUGAGUGUGUCAUGUUUGAGCAGGUGCUUUAGGAAGCAGAGGGGGCUUCUGCAGCCUUCUCAUCCUUUUCCCCACUGCAGGAGCUGCUCCCUCCCCUGUGGUCCCAGAUAGGACUCAUGCAGCAGAGCCUUCACAGCUGCCCCUCAGGGGCUCCAUGUCACGGAAGGCAGGGGGAGCAUUGUUUGCCGUACAGCAAAGCUGACCGGGAUGAGCUGCCACCGGGUGCUGUGCCAGGUGCAGUAGGAGCACCCUGGAAGACUGUGAUGGGCAUUCGCUGAGCCAGCACAGACGGGAGGCACGGAGAAUGGUGCUGGGAACCUUUGUAACUACUGACAAUACGUGUUUCUCAUGAUGCAGGCUUACAGAUGAGGCGACAGACGUGGUGUGCCAGCCCUGAGGCACCUGGACAGGUCUGAGGUCCUGCUUGGCUUGGUGGUUGGCUCUGGGACCUGUGGGACCCCAGCAGGCAGGGAGCAGGCAGUGUGGGCUGGGCUGGGGCAGAGGCUACCCUGGCACCUUGCUCUCAUUUUACCUGGUAUUGGG